rnacentral:rRNA from 1 species
GAGGAAUAUUGGUCAAUGGGCGCAAGCCUGAACCAGCCGUCCCGCGUGCAGGAUGACAGCCUUAUGGGUUGUAAACUGCUUUUGUACGAGAAGAAACCCCUGUACGUGUACAGGGUUGACUGUACUGUAAGAAUAAGCAUCGGCUAACUCCGUGCCAGCAGCCGCGGUAAUACGGAGGAUGCAAGCGUUAUCCGGAUUUAUUGGGUUUAAAGGGUGCGUAGGCGGAAAACUAAGUCAGCGGUGAAAUCUUGCGGCUUAACCGUAAAAUUGCCAUUGAUACUGGUUUUCUUGAAUGCAGUUGAGGUAGGCGGAAUGUGUAGUGUAGCGGUGAAAUGCUUAGAUAUUACACAGAACACCGAUUGCGAAGGCAGCUUACUAAACUGUGAUUGACGCUGAGGCACGAAAGCGUGGGGAUCGAAC